rfam:Mesocricetus auratus contig023771, whole genome shotgun sequence.
ACAAAGGCUCUUUUCAGAGCCACCCACUUGUUUCUAUAAGAGUGCU